GACGAACGCUGGCGGCGUGCUUAACACAUGCAAGUCGAACGGAAAGGCCCUGCUUUUGUGGGGUGCUCGAGUGGCGAACGGGUGAGUAACACGUGAGUAACCUGCCCUUGACUUUGGGAUAACUUCAGGAAACUGGGGCUAAUACCGGAUAGGAGCUCCUGCUGCAUGGUGGGGGUUGGAAAGUUUCGGCGGUUGGGGAUGGCCUCGCGGCUUAUCAGCUUGUUGGUGGGGUAGUGGCUUACCAAGGCUUUGACGGGUAGCCGGCCUGAGAGGGUGACCGGCCACAUUGGGACUGAGAUACGGCCCAGCCUCCUACGGGAGGCAGCAGUGGGGAAUAUUGCACAAUGGGCGGAAGCCUGAUGCAGCAACGCCGCGUGCGGGAUGACGGCCUUCGGGUUGUACACCGCUUUCGCCUGUGACGAAGCGUGAGUGACGGUAAUGGGUAAAGAAGCACCGGCUAACUACGUG
rnacentral:rRNA from 1 species